rnacentral:rRNA from 1 species
CCGAUGGAGGGGGAUAACUACUGGAAACGGUAGCUAAUACCGCAUAACGUCGCAAGACCAAAGAGGGGACCUUGGGCCUCUUGCCAUCGGAUGUGCCCAGAUGGGAUUAGCUAGUAGGUGGGGUAACGGCUCACCUAGGCGACGAUCCCUAGCUGGUCUGAGAGGAUGACCAGCCACACUGGAACUGAGACACGGUCCAG